rnacentral:piRNA from 1 species
GACAAACAAAGCAAGCCUCUGAA